GCAGUCGAGCGGCAGCACGGGUACUUGUACCUGGUGGCGAGCGGCGGACGGGUGAGUAAUGCCUAGGAAUCUGCCUGGUAGUGGGGGAUAACGCUCGGAAACGGACGCUAAUACCGCAUACGUCCUACGGGAGAAAGCAGGGGACCUUCGGGCCUUGCGCUAUCAGAUGAGCCUAGGUCGGAUUAGCUAGUUGGUGAGGUAAUGGCUCACCAAGGCGACGAUCCGUAACUGGUCUGAGAGGAUGAUCAGUCACACUGGAACUGAGACACGGUCCAGACUCCUACGGGAGGCAGCAGUGGGGAAUAUUGGACAAUGGGCGAAAGCCUGAUCCAGCCAUGCCGCGUGUGUGAAGAAGGUCUUCGGAUUGUAAAGCACUUUAAGUUGGGAGGAAGGGCAUUUACCUAAUACGUAAGUGUUUUGACGUUACCGACAGAAUAAGCACCGGCUAACUCUGUGCCAGCAGCCGCGGUAAUACAGAGGGUGCAAGCGUUAAUCGGAAUUACUGGGCGUAAAGCGCGCGUAGGUGGUUUGUUAAGUUGGAUGUGAAAUCCCCGGGCUCAACCUGGGAACUGCAUUCAAAACUGACAAGCUAGAGUAUGGUAGAGGGUGGUGGAAUUUCCUGUGUAGCGGUGAAAUGCGUAGAUAUAGGAAGGAACACCAGUGGCGAAGGCGACCACCUGGACUGAUACUGACACUGAGGUGCGAAAGCGUGGGGAGCAAACAGGAUUA
rnacentral:rRNA from 1 species